UACGUAGGGCGCAAGCGUUAUCCGGAAUUAUUGGGCGUAAAGAGCUCGUAGGCGGUUUGUCGCGUCUGCCGUGAAAGUCCGGGGCUCAACUCCGGAUCUGCGGUGGGUACGGGCAGACUAGAGUGAUGUAGGGGAGACUGGAAUUCCUGGUGUAGCGGUGAAAUGCGCUGAUAUCAGGAGGAACACCGGUGGCGAAGGCAGGUCUCUGGGCAUUAACUGACGCUGAGGAGCGAAAGCAUGGGGAGCGAACAGG
rnacentral:rRNA from 1 species